UUAUGAUGAGAUAUUUAUAGAUGACGAGUCUGAUCAUUCGUGAAGACACAACUAUUAAAAUUACCAUUCAUGCCUUUCUGAAGCUGUUU
ensembl:snoRNA C/D box small nucleolar RNA (snoRNA); guides 2'-O-methylation of large subunit (LSU) rRNA at position G2288